rnacentral:rRNA from 1 species
AGUGAACGCUGGCGGCGUGCUUAACACAUGCAAGUCGAACGAGAACGGAUUAUAGCUUGCUAUAAUUGUCAGCUAAGUGGCGCACGGGUGAGUAAUGUAUAGGUAAUAUGCCUCUUACUAAGGGAUAACAAAUGGAAACGUUUGCUAAUACCUUAUACUCCUUAUUAACAUAAGUUAAUAAGGGAAAGAUUUAUUGGUAAGAGAUUAGCCUGUAUUGUAUCAGUUAGUUGGUGGGGUAAUGGCUUACCAAGACUAUGACACAUAACUGGUUUGAGAGGAUGAUCAGUCACACUGGAACUGAGACACGGUCCAGACUCCUACGGGAGGCAGCAGUGGGGAAUAUUGCACAAUGGUCGAAAGUCUGAUGCAGCAACGCCGCGUGGAGGAUGACACAUUUCGGUGCGUAAACUCCUUUUAUAUGAGAAGAUAAUGACGGUAUUAUAUGAAUAAGCACCGGCUAACUCCGUGCCAGCAGCCGCCGCGG